UGACCUCGGUUCAGACGUGAUUACCCGCUGAACUUAAGCAUAUCACUAAGCGGAGGAAAAGAAACUAACCCAGGAUCCCAAAAUAUAAAAAAGAAAAG
rnacentral:rRNA from 1 species